UACGUAGGGUCCGAGCGUUGUCCGGAGUUACUGGGCGUAAAGCGCGCGCAGGUGGUUCCCUAAGCCCGGCGUGAAAGCCCCCGGCUCAACCGGGGAGGGUCGUCGGGGACUGGAGAACUUGAGGGCGGCAGGGGCUGGUGGAAUCCCCGGUGUAGUGGUGAAAUGCGUAGAGAUCGGGGGGAACACCCGUGGCGAAGGCGGCCAGCUGGGCCGACCCUGACACUGAGGCGCGAAGGCGUGGGGAGCGAACGGG
rnacentral:ncRNA from 2 species